rnacentral:lncRNA from 1 species
GAGAGAGAGAGAGAGAGAGAGAGAGUCCGGCUACUAUACUAUCGAUAGUACCAAGCCCUUGGUACUAUUGAGUUUUCUACCGUUAGAUCUACCCUCUGAUCAUUUCCACCCGUUAGAUUAUAUUAUUAAACCAACCACCCACUCAACUCUAGGGGACCACUAUCAAUUUAACCAGGGACCACUAUCAUCCUAACCGCACAUUUUUUCAUCCAACGGCCGAAAUCUCAAUAGUACCAAGGGCUUGGUACUAUUGAUAGUAUAGUAGCAUAAUUCUAUAUAUAUAUAUAUAUAUAUAUAUAUAGAUAGAUAAAUUGCAUUGUUACCCCCUUUCUUUUGUAGUUGAGAGAGUGAGAGAUUUUGUAUCCAUGUAUAGAGACCACCUAUAUAUCUACUUUUAGCACUUGCAUUUGGGAUUUCCUUUGUAUUACUUUAUACUUUUAUUAGUGGAGUCCAACUUUUUGUUUCUUUCUCUAUUGUAGAACUUAGUGUUAUAUCAUGCUCUGAUACUCCUGGAUGUCUUUUAUUAUUGCUUUAAUUAUCGUUGUUUUAGAUGCCUUAUAUGUUUUAGACGUAUGGCGGGUCUGGGCACGUGCCGGGCGGGCUUCCGCUGGGUCCCGGGGCAUGACAGAUUAAUUUGGUAUCAGAGCCUAGGGUUGAGUCUUAGGGGACCUAGCAAACCUUAGGCUGGUUGGACUAUAGGAAAUAGGCUCGUGAGAGACGAGAUCUAUUUGACUUGUAAGCAAAAGUACCUUGAUUGGGUAUCUUGAUAACUCUAAAAAGUUAGAGUUGAAUCGAAGUGUAUGGCUUCUAACUUCGCGGAGGGUUACGUUGGCGGCCGACAACGUAACAUCGGGAGUUAGUAGUGUAGGACACUUCAUUACUUUCGCGUGAUUGGGGUUUUAUCUCUCUGAGCGGGGAUGCGUUGGCAUGGGUUUUACUAACUUACGCUUUUAUGAUGUUGUAGUGACGAUGCCGAUUACUCGCUCCCAAUCUGCCGGGGCGGACAAUGCGGCAAACUUUGAGGAGGUCGAGACCUCCGCUACCUCCGGAUCCAGCGAGGUCCGUGAGUUGAGGGGCCAGCUUGCGGCCCUCACUGAUUUAGUUACUCAGCAGGCGGAGGCGGCCCGACAGCAGACUGAGGCGGCGCGCCGACAGGAGGCGCGGAUGAAGCGCCUGGAGAACCUUUUACUCCAGCAGGCAGCAGCUUCUAGGGAGACUUAGGCCCCUACGCCGCAAGCACCAGUUGUGGACGUUGCACCGAGAGCGCCGUCCCCCGCGCCCAGUUCUUCGCGUGCGGCGCCUGUGGCCGCACCCCGGGAGGAGGUUUUGGUGGCACCACCUGUUCAGAGGCCCCCAGCAGGAGCAGCAUUCCCUACAUUAGUCGAGGGGGCGGAGCGAGACAGACUGAUGGAGCGCCUCAAUGAGUUCAGGAGGUGCAGUCCCCGAGUCUUCGACGGCGAGAAGGUCGACCACUGGAUCGUGGAGAAGCGGUUGAUGCAUAUGGAGAAGCUUUUCCGCGACACCUUCGUGGAGGAGAGGGACAGAGUUUGGCUCGCCACUCACCAUUUGGACGGCGAGGCCUACCGCUGGUGGUUGGACUUCCAGGAGCACCCCAGCACUGACUUGGUG